rnacentral:rRNA from 1 species
AGCAGCCGCGGUAAUUCCAGCUCCAAUAGCGUAUAUUAAAGUUGUUGCAGUUAAAAAGCUCGUAGUUGAAUUUCGGGAUCAAUAUGUUGGUCGUGCCUUGGUACGUACUAGUUUAUUGGUUUCUUCCUUCUGACGAACCAUGAUGUCAUUAAUUUGGUGUCUUGGGGAAUCAGGACUGUUACCUUGAAAAAAUUAGAGUGUUUAAAGCAGGCUCACGCUUGAAUACAUUAGCAUGGAAUAAUGAAAUAGGACGUUUGAUUCUAUUUUGUUGGUUUCUAGGAUCGACGUAAUGAUUAAUAGGGGUAGUUGGGGGCAUUAGUAUUCAAUUGUCAGAGGUGAAAUUCUUGGAUUUAUUGAAGACUAACUACUGCGAAAGCAUUUGCCAAGGAUGUUUUCAUUAAUCAAGAACGAAAGUUAGGGGAUCGAAGACGAUCAGAUGCCGUCGUAGUCUUAACCAUAAACUAUGCCGACUAGGGAUCGGAUGAUGUUAAUUUUAANGACUCAUUCGGCGCCUUACGGG